rnacentral:rRNA from 1 species
GGAGUGCACGUCCUCACCGUCUGCAGUAGACGCUGAGAGAGGAGCUUGCUCUUCUUGGAUGAGUUGCGAACGGGUGAGUAACGCGUGGUAACCUGCCUUGUAGCGGGGGAUAACUAUUGGAAACGAUAGCUAAUACCGCAUAACAAUGGAUGACACAUGUCAUUUAUUUGAAAGGGGCAAUUGCUCCACUACAAGAUGGACCUGCGUUGUAUUAGCUAGUAGGUGAGGUAAUGGCUCACCUAGGCGACGAUACAUAGCCGACCUGAGAGGGUGAUCGGCCACACUGGGACUGAAACACGGCCCAGACUCCUACGGGAGGCAGCAGUAGGGAAUCUUCGGCAAUGGGGGCAACCCUGACCGAGCAACGCCGCGUGAGUGAAGAAGGUUUUCGGAUCGUAAAGCUCUGUUGUAAGUCAAGAACGGGUGUGAGAGUGGAAAGUUCACACUGUGACGGUAGCUUACCAGAAAGGGACGGCUAACUACGUGCCAGCAGCCGCGGUAAUACGUAGGUCCCGAGCGUUGUCCGGAUUUAUUGGGCGUAAAGCGAGCGCAGGCGGUUUAGAUAAGUCUGAAGUUAAAGGCUGUGGCUCAACCAUAGUUCGCUUUGGAAACUGUCAAACUUGAGUGCAGAAGAGGGAGAGUGAAAUUCCAUGUGUAGCGGUGAAAUGCGUAGAUAUAUGGAGGAACACCGGUGGCGAAAGCGGCUCUCUGGUCUGUAACUGACGCUGAGGCUCGAAAGCGUGGGGAGCGACAGGAUUAGAUACCCUGUAGUCCACGCCGUAAACGAUGAGUGCUAAGUGUUGGAUCCUUUCCGGGAUUCAGUGCCGCAGCUAACGCAUUAAGCACUCCGCCUGGGGAGUACGACCGCAAGGUUGAAACUCAAAGGAAUUGACGGGGGCCCGCACAAGCGGUGGAGCAUGUGGUUUAAUUCGAAGCAACGCGAAGAACCUUACCAGGUCUUGACAUCCCGAUGCUAUUUCUAGAGAUAGAAAGUUACUUCGGUACAUCGGUGACAGGUGGUGCAUGGUUGUCGUCAGCUCGUGUCGUGAGAUGUUGGGUUAAGUCCCGCAACGAGCGCAACCCCUAUUGUUAGUUGCCAUCAUUCAGUUGGGCACUCUAGCGAGACUGCCGGUAAUAAACCGGAGGAAGGUGGGGAUGACGUCAAAUCAUCAUGCCCCUUAUGACCUGGGCUACACACGUGCUACAAUGGUUGGUACAACGAGUUGCGAGUCGGUGACGGCGAGCUAAUCUCUUAAAGCCAAUCUCAGUUCGGAUUGUAGGCUGCAACUCGCCUACAUGAAGUCGGAAUCGCUAGUAAUCGCGGAUCAGCACGCCGCGGUGAAUACGUUCCCGGGCCUUGUACACACCGCCCGUCACACCACGAGAGUUUGUAACACCCGAAGUCGGUGAGGUAACCUCUAUUGGAGCCAGCCGCCUAAGGUGGGACAGAUGACUGGGGGAAGUCGGUAGAGUUAUUGGC